ACUCCUACGGGAGGCAGCAGUAGGGAAUCUUCCACAAUGGGCGCAAGCCUGAUGGAGCAACACCGCGUGAGUGAAGAAGGGUUUCGGCUCGUAAAGCUCUGUUGUUAAAGAAGAACACGUAUGAGAGUAACUGUUCAUACGUUGACGGUAUUUAACCAGAAAGUCACGGCUAACUACGUGCCAGCAGCCGCGGUAAUACGUAGGUGGCAAGCGUUAUCCGGAUUUAUUGGGCGUAAAGAGAGUGCAGGCGGUUUUCUAAGUCUGAUGUGAAAGCCUUCGGCUUAACCGGAGAAGUGCAUCGGAAACUGGAUAACUUGAGUGCAGAAGAGGGUAGUGGAACUCCAUGUGUAGCGGUGGAACGCGUAGAUAUAUGGAAGAACACCAGUGGCGAAGGCGGCUACCUGGUCUGCAACUGACGCUGAGACUCGAAAGCAUGGGUAGCGAACAGGAUUAGAUACCCUGGUAGGAUAGCC
rnacentral:rRNA from 1 species